rnacentral:rRNA from 1 species
GACGAACGCUGGCGGCGUGCCUAAUACAUGCAAGUAGAACGCUGAAGCUUGGUGCUUGCACCGAGCGGAUGAGUUGCGAACGGGUGAGUAACGCGUAGGUAACCUGCCUGGUAGCGGGGGAUAACUAUUGGAAACGAUAGCUAAUACCGCAUAACAGUAGAUAUCGCAUGAUAGCUACUUGAAAGGUGCAAAUGCACCACUACCAGAUGGACCUGCGUUGUAUUAGCUAGUUGGUGAGGUAACGGCUCACCAAGGCAACGAUACAUAGCCGACCUGAGAGGGUGAUCGGCCACACUGGGACUGAGACACGGCCCAGACUCCUACGGGAGGCAGCAGUAGGGAAGCGUCGGCAAUGGACGGAAGUCUGACCGAGCAACGCCGCGGGAGGGAAGAAGGGUUUCGGAUCGUAAAGCUCUGUUGUAAGAGAAGAACGAGUGUGAGAGUGGAAAGUUCACACUGUGACGGUAUCUGACCAGAAAGGGACGGCUAACUACGUG